ACAGCGGAUCGAAUAUCCCAGCAAAAUUAAAAUUUGUAAGAAACAGUUUGAAAGCCAUCGGACAAGGCACUGUACAUAAGAAAGGCUCGCGAGGAGUUCUCAGUUUUGAUAUUUUCCUCGUAUCGAUUCAAAUUUUAGUUAAAGAAUUAUUUUGUGUAGAAUAAACUUGCCAAAACUGAAAAAUACAAAUUUCAUAAAGGAGCGCCACGCGGUUCAGUACUCACACGUCGAACAACCGAGCAAGACCGAUCGUUUUCACGCGUAUCGAAGCUGAGCAAGUGGAAUUUUUGUGACGAUAAAUGCUUCUACAGUAACUGCUCAUCGUAUCAAGUCGCUGAGUCUGAUAAAAUUUUUGAGUAUUAUGAAUGACCGCGAAUUUUCUUACGAUUUCACUACGAGAUAAGAUAAACGAAUUAAAACAAUUGAGAAGAAGUGGUUAGCUUCACUCUUAUCGAUGAGUUGUUAACC